rnacentral:lncRNA from 1 species
GAGAGCCGUGAUGAAUGGACUGACCAGGGGAUAAUGGCGGACAUUCUGUUGACCUCAGCCUUAAAACAGCUUUUGUUGGUGAGGUUUCUGCAAUGAUAGUUUUGGAUUGAGUUCUUAUUGAAAAGAGGCUGAAAACGAGUUCUGGGAGAGCAAAGAACGGAGCUUUGAUUUUAUUUUAUUUUUAUUUUUAUUUUUUGCCUGCUUAAUUCCAACUCAUUUGUCUCUUCUGGAUCCUGAAUUCUGGGAAGUUACAGCAUGGAAAGAUUAUGAAGUGCAUCUCAUCCAGUGAGGUUCUUUGGGACAAGAUCUUAUACCUCGUUUCUCUACCUCCCUUACCUCCUUUACUAUGUGUGGCCAAGAUAUUUGUAUCUCAUAAAAUAAGGCUUGCAUUCUGUUCAAGCCACUGGCAGUUAGCUUCUCUCUGGGUUUUUACAUUCUGCUGGAAGGCAGAAAAACCAGUUUUAUCCAGACAGCACUGUGAGGAUGAGUUGCAUGAAUUACUUACCCAAUCUGCUUGAAAAAAAAUUACAUUUCUUCUGAACAUAUGCCACUGUCUAUUAAAGGCAUUUCUAGGAUGUAAAAAUACUAUAUCAUUUCAUAAAAUAGUUUGUGGUAUGAAUAACUGUAGGUCCAUUCAAAAAUAUUUAAUUUUUGAAUGUUUUAAGAUUUUAAUGUACGUACUUAAAAUGGAUGAAGUGGUGUGUAUGUUACUAUGAGAAAUUAGAACAAAUAAGUUGUCUUAAAUUGAGCAGUCAUAUUUGUGUAGAAAUGGAAAGUGUUUUCUACUGAUAUUCUUCAGAAUCUUCAUUUGGAAUUUUUUUUUACUUCGCUCUAAAUAUCAUUAAGCUGCUAGUAGCUUCAAAUCUUCUGUGCAAGAACAGGAGAUAACUGCUUUUCCCCGUAAGUGAAGGCAUGUUUGCGUUUUUGUUUAAUAACAACUUUGAUCCUUCUACUGCUGGCAAUGGUCAUUGAGAAAUCCUGACAUAAAGAAGGUAUCUGCAAGAUAAAGUUCUACAAGGGAUGAUUAGCAGCACUUAAGUUUUCUUUUUGUUGAAAGGAAGAAUCCCUGAUUGAACAGUGCAUUGAAUGAUAUGACAAGCAAGUACUUGAUCCCUGUCCAGCUGGAAAGGAAUUGUAUUCAUCAGCAGCUUUUUAGCUAAGGAUGUCUUUAUAUUUUCACUCUUUGUUUGAGUCUCUCCAGAUCCUCCCUUUACUUCAUGUCAGCACUAUAUAGUAGGUAUGCCAAGUGGUUUUGAAAUUUAAAUUACAGUCUCUUUUUCAGAUGUUAUUGGAAAGAACAUGUAAUUUAUAACCACGUGUUAGGAGUACAGGAUGUUCAUGGUUCACUGCCAAUUCUUCUUUUGUAAAGUUAAUAAAACUUUCAUAAAACACUUAUACA